CCUACGGGAGGCUGCAGUGAGGAAUAUUGGUCAAUGGGCGCGAGCCUGAACCAGCCAAGUCGCGUGAGGGAAGACGGUCCUAUGUAUUGUAAACCUCUUUUGUCGGGGAGCAAAAGACGCCACGCGUGGCGUUCCGAGAGUACCCGAAUAAAAAGCAUCGGCUAACUCCGUGCCAGCAGCCGCGGUAAUACGGAGGAUGCGAGCGUUAUCCGGAUUUAUUGGGUUUAAAGGGUGCUCAGGCGGCAGAUCAAGUCAGCGGUAAAAUUGAGAGGCUCAACCUCGUCGAGCCGUUGAAACUGGUUUGCUUGAGUGAGUGAGAAGUAUGCGGAAUGCGUGGUGUAGCGGUGAAAUGCAUAGAUAUCACGCAGAACUCCGAUUGCGAAGGCAGCAUACCGGCGCUCAACUGACGCUGAUGCACGAAAGUGUGGGUAUCGAACAGGAUUAGAUACCCGGGUAGUC
rnacentral:rRNA from 1 species